UCACUCAGAGAACCUUGGUUACACAUGUAACCUUCCGUUUUAGAAUCCUUUUUUUCUGUACUCCUUUCACAACUUUAUAAAAGGAGUUUAACAGCAGGAGAUGACUUUAGGAGGGUCUUCAGGAAAUGCUCCAUCCAAAUUUUAAUUUUAGUAGUAUUUAGUUUUUGCAAUUUAUCCAGUCACAUUGAAAACAUCGAACUGACUUGUUACAUCUCACUGUAUUAACUAGUGAGAUCUGGAAACAACAUUCUGAAAAUACAAUUCAGUGUUUAAACACAAUUUACUGUCUGAUCAAAAAGAUCAGAGAGUUACAUUUGAAUGGAGCAUUUCCAAAGGGUCGAGGUUAGGGAGGGCCAGACCCUCCUAGAGUCUUUUUCCUCUUUUACUCCUCUUACAGUUACUCAGUGAUCUUAACAGAAUUACAAACAAGUAUUUUUCUGUUUCAUUAGGACAUUUGUAGACACUGAGAGAUAUUUAGGGGAAAAAAAACUUUUCUUAAAAAUGUCAGACUAACAUGAAUAGUUUUAGGUACUCCAACACUUUUAUCUGUAGAUUUCCUACAAAAAGUCAUUUUUAAAUCAUUAUUUUAAAAUGGCUUUAAAUGAUGAAAAGAGCUUCAAGAGGGUCUUCAGAAAUGUUCCAUUCAAAUCUGUGUAAACCUUUGUUAAAGUUAAUAUGAUGAAUUUAAAAACAAGAGAAGAAAUUCUUCUAUAAUCUGUAUUUACAAUGUCUAUAAUGAUUUUCGAUUUCAGCUUAUGAAAUUUCUGAGAAAUGUGUCAAGAAUUUAUUAACUGGUUUCCGGUCAUUGUUGUUUGUUAUAUUUGAAUGGAACAUUUCCAAAGGGUAGAGGUUAGGGAGGGUCAGACCCUCCUGAAGCUCUUUACCUCUGAUACUCAUGUUAAUAUCAGAUAUCAUCACUAUUAAUGAUGACUUUUCUGUUUUUGUUGAAAUAUGUACAAGAAGAAACAUCCGUGUUCCACAGAAAAAGAAAAUGUUGAACAUGUUCAUUAAUGUUAUUUUUAAGAACUGUUUGAUUGCAUGAAUCUUGAAAGUCAUUUGUUUGUGUGAAUAUUCAGCAAUUAAUUGAAGUGCAUAUUUAAAGAGAUUGUAAAAGCAGGAGAUGACUUUAGGAGGGUCUACAGGAAAUGCUCCAUCCAAAUUAUUAUUGUUAUUAUCAUUAUUGUUAUUGUUGUAAUUCUUCCAGUCAUAUUGACAACAUCACAUUGACUUUUUUCAUCUCACUGUAUUACCUGGUGAGAUCUUGAAACUACAUUCUGAAACUACAAUUCAGUGUUUAAACAAAUUAUUGUGUUAACAAUGAGAGUCAUAUUUGUAUGGAGCAUUUCCAAAGGGUUGAGGUUAGGGAGGGCCAGACCCUCCUAAAGUCUUUUUCCUCUUUUAAAAAUGUUCCUGUUUGAUGUCAUUAUUGUUAUUUAUAAGUCUUUUCUUUCACUUGAUUGUUGUUUUUGUUGUAAAAUAUUGAAAGAAAAAACAUCUAAAUUCUUCCAACAAAUGUUUCAGAUAUUGCUCAGUAAUGGUAGUUUUAGAAUUAUUCUUUCUGUGCCUCUUUCACAACUUUGUAACAGGAGUGUAAAAGCAGGAAAUGACUUUAGGAGGGUCUUCAGGAAAUGCUCUAUCCAAAUUAUUGUUUUAUUAUUAGUAGCUUUAUUACAAUAUGUCCAGUGACAUUCACAGUAUCAGACUGACUUGUUUCAUCUCACUGUAUUAAUUGGUGAGAUCUGGAAACAAUAUUCUGAAACUAACACAGAUUAUUGUGUCAAUGAUAAGAGUCAUAUUUGUAUGGAGCAUUUCCAAAGGGUUGAGGUUAGGGAGGGCCAGACCCUCCUCGAGUCUUACUGUUACUGUUUGAUGUCAGUAUCAUCACUAUUAAUGAUGACUUAUUCUUCUGUUGUUUUAAUAUCUUCAAGGAAAAUUCAUCCCAAUUCAACAAAACAGAGCAAAGUUUAAAAUGUUUCUCAGUAAUUGUGAUUCUUGAAAGUCAUUUGUUUGUGUGAAUAUUCAUCAAUUAAUUAAAGUACAUAUCUGAAGAGAUUUUAAAAGCAGGAGAUGACUUUAGGAGGGUCUACAUGAAAUGCUCCAUCCAAAUUAUUAUUAUGAUUAUUAUUAUUGUUGCAAUUUACAGUUCAGUGUUUGAGCACAAUUUACUGUCUAAUCCAAAAGAUCAGACAGGUACAUUUGAAUGGAGCUUUUCCAAAGGGUUGAGGUUAAGGAGGGCCAGACCCUCCUAAAGUUUUCAUUGUCUUGUACAAAUGUUACUUUUAGAUUCAGUCACUAUUAAUGAUUGUAUUUUCUUCCUGGUUUUUUGAAUAUCUUCAAAGAAAAGACAUCCAAAUUCUACAAAAUGGAAACAUGGUGCAGAUUUCCUGUCAUGUUUCAUGUUUUGGGUUUGGUUCGGUUCGUCUCUCGUCGUCUCUUUUUCUCUCCUCCCUAGUUUCUUUCCACUGGUUUGCUGAGGACGUGGCUCGUCACCCUGCAGAUCGUUCCAGAUCAUCGGCUCCUCCAUAAAUCCUGGACUCUUCACUACUCUGGUCACAGAUUGUUCUGUGUCUUUGAUCCUGUGUUCCUCGCUCAGUUCUCCUAAACUCCAGUGUUCCAUGUGCUCAGUCUUCAGCUCUGCCUCGGUCACUCCAGCCGUCCACCAAACCAGCCAGUCCUCAACCUCCGCUGUCCUUUCUGAGACUUUUGUUCAAAUAAAUCACUCUUUUUACCUUA